UAGGGAAUCUUCCACAAUGGACGCAAGUCUGAUGGAGCAACGCCGCGUGAGUGAAGAAGGCUUUCGGGUCGUAAAACUCUGUUGUUGGAGAAGAAUGGUCGGCAGAGUAACUGUUGUCGGCGUGACGGUAUCCAACCAGAAAGCCACGGCUAACUACGUGCCAGCAGCCGCGGUAAUACGUAGGUGGCAAGCGUUAUCCGGAUUUAUUGGGCGUAAAGCGAGCGCAGGCGGUUUUUUAAGUCUGAUGUGAAAGCCCUCGGCUUAACCGAGGAAGCGCAUCGGAAACUGGGAAACUUGAGUGCAGAAGAGGACAGUGGAACUCCAUGUGUAGCGGUGAAAUGCGUAGAUAUAUGGAAGAACACCAGUGGCGAAGGCGGCUGUCUGGUCUGUAACUGACGCUGAGGCUCGAAAGCAUGGGUAGCGAACAGGAUUAGAUACCCUGGUAGUCCAUGCCGUAAACGAUGAAUGCUAGGUGUUGGAGGGUUUCCGCCCUUGCAGUGCCGCAGCUAACGCAUUAAGCAUUCCGCCUGGGGAGUACGACCGCAAGGUUGAAAC
rnacentral:rRNA from 1 species